rnacentral:sRNA from 1 species
AAAGAAUUGUUUAAUCAGCCGUGAAUUGGGGACUUCAAACAUUUUAACCAUAUGCUGCCAGAUUGUUCAUCAUAAAAUUUCCUUCUCUCUCCCAGAAACCGGCGAGAGUUUGGCAAGCGAGUUCCUGUUCUCUGAUGUGUGUAGGGUGGAGAGUGGGGAGAACUGCUCCUCUCCUGCACCCAGAGAAGAGCUGGUCCCUGCAGAAGAAACGGAACAGGAUAAAGAGCACACAUGUGAGACGCUGCUGAUGUGCAUUGUCACUGUACUGAGUCACGGGCUGCGGAGCGGGGGUGGAGUAGGAGAUGUGCUCAGGAAGCCGUCCAAAGAGGAACCCCUGUUUGCUGCUAGAGUGAUUUAUGACCUCUUGUUCUUCUUCAUGGUCAUCAUCAUUGUUCUUAACCUGAUUUUUGGGGUUAUCAUUGACACUUUUGCUGACCUGAGGAGUGAGAAGCAGAAGAAGGAAGAGAUCUUGAAGACCACGUGCUUUAUCUGUGGCUUGGAAAGAGACAAGUUUGACAACAAGACUGUCACCUUUGAAGAGCACAUCAAGGAAGAACACAACAUGUGGCACUAUCUGUGCUUCAUCGUCCUGGUGAAAGUAAAGGACUCCACCGAAUAUACUGGGCCUGAGAGUUACGUGGCAGAAAUGAUC